AUAGGCAAACCAAUGAAAGAGGCUCAUCAGCAGCUCUCCAAAACCACCUUACCUGUAAACAGAAGGCAGGCAAGCAAGGCAUGGUCUGCUAAACAGAGAGUGAACAGAUCUCAAAGAGAAGCCAAACAGCGUGGAAGUUGCCAAAAACCACUGCCAGUGUCUGCAGGUAUCCCUGAACAACACAGCGUUGUGAGAUCCAGAUCUAACAAGAGCACAGAUGUGUCAGUAGGAUGAAUGAAGAAGGCCUGAGACUAACAGGGCUCCCAGUCAUUUGGCUGUGCUGUUAUCAAGCCUUGCAAAUGGCUGAAGUCCAGUGAGGGAGCAGUCAGAUGCAUCUUUGUACUUGGGACCAAGACAAGAACCCAGCUACAGAAAGGUUGGUUUGCCUUCAGCAGACCAGCGAUGCUGACAGUGCUGCCUCCAUGGGCACCCUCUGAUGUGGUUGGGUCUGAGCUUCCCAAUGUGACCACGUCCUUGUGCUGCAUCAUGUUGCACAC